rnacentral:rRNA from 1 species
GCCAGACUCCUACGGGAGGCAGCAGUGGGGAAUAUUGCACAAUGGGGGAAACCCUGAUGCAGCGACGCCGCGUGAGCGAUGAAGUAUUUCGGUAUGUAAAGCUCUAUCAGCAGGGAAGAAGAUGACGGUACCUGACUAAGAAGCCCCGGCUAACUACGUGCCAGCAGCCGCGGUAAUACGUAGGGAGCGAGCGUUGUCCGGAAUUACUGGGUGUAAAGGGAGCGUAGGCGGGACUGCAAGUUGGGUGUCAAACCUGCCGGCUCAACCGGUAGCCGCACUCAAAACUGCAGUUCUUGAGUGAAGUAGAGGCAGGCGGAAUUCCUAGUGUAGCGGUGAAAUGCGUAGAUAUUAGGAGGAACACCAGUGGCGAAGGCGGC